rnacentral:rRNA from 1 species
UGGGGAAUAUUGCGCAAUGGGCGGAAGCCUGACGCAGCAACGCCGCGUGAGUGAAGAAGGUCUUCGGAUUGUAAAGCUCUGUUAAGAUAGGAAGAAUAGCCUUCGGGUUCGACGGUACUAUCUCAGGAAGCACCGGCUAACUCCGUGCCAGCAGCCGCGGUAAUACGGAGGGUGCAAGCGUUGUUCGGAAUUAUUGGGCGUAAAGCGUGCGUAGGCGGAUUGUUAAGUCUGGUGUGAAAUCCCUCGGCUCAACCGAGGACGUGCAUUGGAUACUGGCAGUCUUGAGUCCUGGAGAGGAGAGCGGAAUUCCUAGUGUAGAGGUGAAAUUCGUAGAUAUUAGGAGGAACACCAGCGGCGAAAGCGGCUCUCUGGACAGUGACUGACGCUGAGGCACGAAAGCAUAGGUAGCAAACAGG